rnacentral:lncRNA from 1 species
CCAUCUUUAAUUGGCCGGCACCAAGCUCUUUCCGUUCCUGCUUGCCAUUGUCUUCUGAGUCUUUAAUAGCAGCAAAGGAGGUGCCAUCAGUUCAGCCUGUUGUCAUUUAACUCAGGGAUGCAUGCUUGUUGCAUAUGGAGAUGCCUCAUUGGACGUUCUUUGAAGAGGUCAAUUUUUCAACUCCGCUGAGUCUCCAGUCAGGAGGCUUAUGGUGGAGUGGGCUUCGGGGGCAGAAUUUCUCCACUCUUAGUCAUCUGCAAUGGUCUCAGCUCCAGUGCUCCAGCAACUGGAACUCUUCCUAACAUCACUUAGGCCUUUGGGGCAGAUUUUGGCCACAUUUUGUAGAUGAAUAUAAUCUCAGAUGCUGAAAUGAGAUGACAGGUUUGGUUGGUAAAAAUAAUCACUGAGUGAAUCUGGUGAUAUUUUGUUCCUAGAAUACACUUGCCUCACUGAACAAUAAAUUAUGAAACCAACGCCUGUUUCAUGUGUUUAGCCAUUUAACCUCUUUGAACUAUUUAUUUAUUUAUUUAUUUAGAGACAGAGUUUCAUUCUUGUCGCCCAGGCUGGAGUGCAGUGGCACAAUCUCAGCUCACUGCAACCUCCACCUCCCGGGUUCAAGCGAUUUUCCUGCUUUAGCUUCCUGAGUGUCUGGGAUUACAGGUGCCCGCCACCACACCUGGCUAAUUUUUUUGUAUUUUCAGUAUAAACGGGGUUUCACCAUGUUGGCCAGGCUGGUCUCGAACUCCUGAGCUGAAUGAUAUUCCAUUGUAGGUGUAGACCACAUUUUACGUAUCUGUUCAUCCAGCAAUAGAUGCUGAGAUUAACUACCAUAAUUAUUUAAUAUAAGGAAACAGAAGCCCUGAAAAUUUAAGUCACAUAUUCAAUAUCCUACAGGAAAUAAAUGGUAAAAUCAGAAUUCAAAUAUUGGUCUUUCUGGAUUCUUGAGACUGAGCUCUUACAUAACGUGCUAUACUUUGAGCCUGUGAUUUUUACCUUUCAUCUCUCAGAAAAUUCCAUUGAAAUGAUGAACGAAAGGAGAAAAAUAUUUCCCUCAUGACAGAGGAAGCUACCAUGAGCCAGAAAGUUUGGGAAUUUACAUAAUAUAAAGGAGAUGAUUACUGAUAGUUGCAGUCAAUUCAGUAUAGACAGUGGAGAAAUCC